CCUACGGGCGGCAGCAGUGAGGAAUAUUGGUCAAUGGCCGGAAGGCUGAACCAGCCAUGCCGCGUGAAGGUCAGUGCCCUAUGGGCGUUAAACUUCUUUUGUGCGGGAGCAAUAAUGGUCACGUGUGGCCAGACGAGAGUACCGUACGAAUAAGCAUCGGCUAACUCCGUGCCAGCAGCCGCGGUAAUACGGGGGAUGCAAGCGUUAUCCGGAUUUAUUGGGUUUAAAGGGUGCGUAGGCUGUGAGGUAAGUCAGCGGUGAAAUGCCCCCGCUCAACGGGGUGAAGUGCCAUUGAUACUGCCUGGCUGGAAUGCGGAUGCGGUGGGAGGAAUGUGUGGUGUAGCGGUGAAAUGCAUAGAUAUCACACAGAACACCGAUUGCGAAGGCAUCUCACGAAUCCGCGAUUGACGCUGAUGCACGAAAGCGUGGGUAUCAAACAGGAUUAGAUACCCGUGUAGUC
rnacentral:rRNA from 1 species